rnacentral:lncRNA from 1 species
CAUCCUGGGCCUGGUUUCUUCGUCUGUCCUGCUUUCUCCAGCACGCACACAGCAACACUUCAGCUACUCUCUGUGACCCCUCCAGCUGGCCUCAGUUGUCUCCUCUGCCUGUGCGCCCUUCUCAGUCUCCCAUCCGCUGCUCAACCCAGUUCAGCCGUCUCUGCCUGAGACACAUUGUCACACACUGUCCGUCCACGUGUCCAACCUCCAAAGCUCCUGUCCUCCCGCUCCCCGUAGUGUAACCUUUCCUGUUCCAUUCAGAUCCUUUCACACUCCUCUGACACAUUCGUGGGGAACCGUUCCUGACUCUCUGCCUUCAUCCCUUCACCACAGUGCUGAUACCUUUAGCCUCGCCCUGGGCUGCCACCUCUCCCCAGACGCUCUCCAGCACUGACCUCUCCCACCCACUCUGGCCUUUCCAUGAGUGUGGACGUCCCCUCUGGUGCUCUCUGCCCGCGUACAUACAACCCCUCUUCCUUUCAGUCUGCACUUGCAUCUCUGGGCUCAAGCAUCCUCAGCUCUGGGACCACCACAUUGGCAAUUCUUUUCUGACGAAUUAACAGUAAUUCCACCCCACCCCACCCCCUUGAUUCAGGUGCCUUGUCCGUUACAUCCAUUUGCUUGCUGUCUGCCUGGUCCUGGGUCCUUUUCCUCCAAGUCUGACAGUCUGGACUCUGAUGCCUCCCUCUGCCCCAUCCGGGGGCUCAUCUGCUCACCCUUCACCUCUCUGACCAGCUCUCCACCUGCCCUCCCCCCCAGUGAUUCUCACCCGAGGAUGCAUGACCCCCAAGGCUGGCCUAUCAGCAGCAUCUCUGAGGAAUGUUUUUGUGUUUUCUUUUUGCAUGUUUUUGGGUUUGUUUUUGUUUGGAGCAGAGCGCUGCUCGCCCUCCGAUGUUCUGAUAGGCCUCCCUUGGGGUCCAUGCCCCAGCCCCCCCGCGGGUGAAAACCACCCCCCCCCACCCCGGGGAAGAAUCACUGCCGUGGAGGGCCAGCCUGCCCCCCCGGGCUG